rnacentral:rRNA from 1 species
UACGUAGGCAGCGAGCGUUGUUCGGAGUUACUGGGCGUAAAGCGCGCGCAGGCGGCUAUCCAAGUCAGUGGUGAAAGCCCGGGCUCAACUCCGGAAUUGCCUUUAAGACUGCAUCGCUUGAAUCAUGGAGAGGUGAGUGGAAUUCCGAGUGUAGAGGUGAAAUUCGUAGAUAUUCGGAAGAACACCAGUGGCGAAGGCGACUCACUGACAUGUAUUGACGCUGAGGUACGAAGCGUGGAGCAACAGG